rnacentral:rRNA from 1 species
CGACCGGCGCACGGGUGAGUAACGCGUAUCCAACCUACCCAAUACUCAGGCAUGACCCGUUGAAAGACGGACUAAUUCCUGAUGGUAUGUAUUUUUCUCAUGAUUUAUACAUUAAAGAAUUUCGGUAUUGGAUGGGGAUGCGUCUGAUUAGUUUGUUGGUGAGGUAACGGCUCACCAAGACUUCGAUCAGUAGGGGUUCUGAGAGGAAGGUCCCCCACAUUGGAACUGAGACACGGUCCAA